AAACGGGUACCGUUUAAUAAAAACCGUGGAUAAUUCGAAUCCGAAACCAAAAGCAGAGCCUUAACUUAUUUUUUUUGUCCGUGUUAUUCAGCAGGCUUGCUCUAAUCAUUCAUCCCCUUCUUCACCCUUUGCUCUCGUUCAAUUUCCCAAAGUUUGCUUAUUAGAGAUUGAAUAGACGGUGAAGUGUGAAAGAAGAAGAUGUGGGCAGCUUCGUGCCUGGCAUCAUGCUGCGCUGCUUGCGCUUGCGAUGCUUGCAGGACGGUGGUGUCAAGUAUUAGCCGUCGGUCUGCUAGGAUUGCAUACUGUGGGCUCUUUGCGCUUUCUUUGAUCGUCUCAUAAAUUCUCCGCGAGGUUGCUGCUCCUCUCCUGGAAAAGAUUCCCUGGAUUUCUCAGUUUAAUGAGACACAUAACAGGGAGUGGUUCGAAACAGAUGCAGUGCUUCGUGUUAGCUUGGGGAAUUUUCUCUUCUUCACUAUUUUAUCAGUUAUGAUGGUUGGUGUGAAGAAUCAGAAGGAUCCCCGUGAUAGUUUGCAUCAUGGUGGAUGGAUGAUGAAAGUUAUAUGCUGGUGUCUUUUGGUGAUCUUCAUGUUUUUCGUACCAAAUGAGAUUGUUAGCUUCUAUGAGACAAUUUCCAAGUUUGGCUCAGGAUUUUUUCUUCUUGUACAAGUUGUACUUCUGUUGGAUUUUGUUCAUGGAUGGAAUGACAAAUGGGUUGGAUAUGAUGAGAAGUUCUGGUACAUUGCACUUUUUGUUGUUUCUCUUGUUUGUUAUCUGGCAACAUUCGUCUUCUCUGGACUUCUUUUCCAUUGGUUCACACCAUCUGGACAAGACUGCGGGCUCAACACCUUCUUUAUUGUCAUGACUCUCAUGUGUGUCUUCGGGUUUCUUAUAGUGGCACUGCAUCCUUCGGUAAGUGGCAGCAUUUUGCCCGCGUCAGUUAUAUCUAUGUACUGCACGUACCUCUGCUACAGUGCACUUGCCAGUGAACCUAGGGACUAUGAGUGCAAUGGUCUUCACAAGCACUCCAAAGCUGUUUCCACCGGGACCCUUACCUUUGGGUUGCUAACCACUGUUCUUUCUGUGGUUUAUUCUGCUGUUCGUGCUGGAUCUUCCACAACUCUUCUCUCCCCACCAAGUUCUCCUCGCUCAGGUGCUGGAAAGCCUCUGCUUCCAUUAGACAAGGUUGAUGAACACGAAGAAAAAGAGAAGUCCAAGCCAGUGUCAUAUUCAUAUUCGUUUUUCCACAUCAUCUUCUCUCUUGCUAGUAUGUACUCGGCCAUGCUUCUGACAGGGUGGUCAGCCUCAGUUGGGGAGAGCGGGAAGUUGGUGGAUGUUGGGUGGCCAUCUGUGUGGGUGAGGAUGGUGACUAGUUGGGCAACUGCAGGUCUGUACAUCUGGUCUCUUUUGGCUCCUAUUCUGUUCCCCGAGAGGGAAUUCUGAACCCCGACGCCACCAAACGAGAGAAAAAAGGGUUUGCCCAUUGACGUAUUAAGUAUAUGUAUUGUGUGUAUGCUACUUGUAUUGUACUUUAAAGUAACCAUCAACUCUGAAUAGAAUGGUUUGUGUUUGACUUUUAGAAUAACCAAAUCAUGUCGGAAAAAAUACAUGUUAUUGAGCUUGAAAUCGUUUUCUUUCGAUAUCCCGAAA